GCCUUUUAAAGCGCUUGGGUGGAACGAGUUAGUGAGGCGAACGGGAAGGAAACGGUCCCGUCGCGGAAAAAGCCGCGCUCUGAUUGGACUCCGAGGAGCGUCUGGCUGAGGUUUAAGCAGCUGCGAGUAAGGCGUGGAGGAGAGCCCGGUGAUUGGAGCCGGGGUGGUGGUGAUGCUGAAUUAAUCCGCGUUCCCUGCUCUUAAACUGAGAGGAGCGUGCUGGCUUUAUACAAAGGGAUUACAAAAUGCAGGUAAGAAUAUGGUUAUUCCUCAUGAAUAAACGUUUGCUGUACAACAAAGCUUUGGAUCUGGUACAAGAAUUUGGAAAUAUAAAAUAAAAGUAUUACAAAAAGGGAUCUUUA